rnacentral:rRNA from 1 species
UACAGGGGGUGCAAACGUUGCUCGGAAUUAUUGGGCGUAAAGCGCGCGUAGGCGGCCACUUAAGUCGGAUGUGAAAGCCCCUGGCUCAACUGGGGAAGUGCACCCGAAACUGAAUGGCUUGAGUGCGAAAGAGGGUCGCGGAAUUCCCGGUGAUAGAGGUGAAAUUCGUAAGAUAUCGGGAGGAACACCGGUGGCGAAGGCGGCGACCUGGGGUCGGACACUGACGCUGGAGGCGCGAAAGCGUGGGGAGCAAACAGG